GGGGGAUAUUGGACAAUGGGGGCAACCCUGAUCCAGCGACGCCGCGUGAGGGAAGAAGGUUUUCGGAUUGUAAACCUCUGUUGCCGGAGAAAAAAAUGAUGGUAUCCGUUUAGAAAGCCACGGCUAACUACGUGCCAGCAGCCGCGGUAAUACGUAGGUGGCAAGCGUUGUCCGGAAUUACUGGGUGUAAAGGGAGUGUAGGCGGGAUAUCAAGUCAGAAGUGAAAAUUACGGGCUCAACUCGUAACCUGCUUUUGAAACUGACAUUCUUGAGUGAAGUAGAGGCAAGCGGAAUUCCUAGUGUAGCGGUGAAAUGCGUAGAUAUUAGGAGGAACACCAGUGGCGAAGGCGGCUUGCUGGGCUUUGACUGACGCUGAGGCUCGAAAGCGUGGGGAGCAAAC
rnacentral:rRNA from 1 species